UACGGAGGAUGCAAGCGUUAUCCGGAAUGAUUGGGCGUAAAGCGUCCGCAGGUGGCUAUGUAAGUCUGCUGUUAAAGAGUCUAGCUCAACUAGAUAAGAGCAGUGGAAACUACAAGGCUAGAGUACGUUCGGGGCAGAGGGAAUUCCUGGUGUAGCGGUGAAAUGCGUAGAGAUUAGGAAGAACACCAGUGGCGAAGGCGCUCUGCUAGGCCGUAACUGACACUGAGGGACGAAAGCUAGGGGAGCGAAUGGG
rnacentral:rRNA from 1 species